UACAGGGGGUGCAAACGUUGCUCGGAAUCAUUGGGCGUAAAGCGCACGUAGGCGGUCUGUUAUGUCGUAUGUGAAAGCCCUUGGCUCAACUGAGGAAGUGCAUCCGAAACUGGCAGGCUAGAGUACUAAAGAGGAUCGCGGAAUUCCCGGUGUAGAGGUGAAAUUCGUAGAUAUCGGGAGGAACACCGGUGGCGAAGGCGGCGAUCUGGGUAGAUACUGACGCUGAGGUGCGAAAGCGUGGGGAGCAAACAGG
rnacentral:rRNA from 1 species